ACUAUAGCCUACCCAGCUACAAGCUUGAAAUUUGGCGAGUUACAGAGCUCUUUGAGAUCUUUGUGAAAUCUUUCACAGAGAAUUAUUGUUUUAGGAACAUAUAGAACGGACAGCUUCAAUAGCAAGGCUGUGUGUUCUAGAGCUGUUGCCUUACUGAAAUCCUUUCUCUUAGCUAUCUAACAGCAUUGUGCAUCUGACCUGCAACCGAGCUUUUCACCAGUUUUUAAACACACAUAUUAGGGGCUUAGAGCUGGUGAAAUGUUUUAAGAGCAUUAGUGCUUUAAAUGCAUUUCGUAAGUGUAGAUAUGCUUCAAGAUACUUAAGCUAGAAGAGGAGAUCAAUGGCUUCAUGGGUUCCAUCGCAGACUACAUGGUGUUAGAUGCUAGAAAUCUUACAUGGCAGUCCAGAAAGAUUUGUAUAAGGAAUUAUUGCCUCCAGAUAUAAGUAAUGCGCUUCAUACUAUGAUUCAACAGCAAAUGAGUUUAGGUAACCUGUGUCAAAGUACUGAAAUGUUAGAGGCUAACAAAUGCUCUGCUUAGUAAUGUUCCUGUGAAAUCAAGGUUUUAUGUGGGAUUGGAGAAGCCUGUUCGGGAUUUGAAGGAGCUUUUAUUCCAAUGCAAGGCGUCGGUCGUUGGGGUGCAUUGUAUGGGAGAUGGUGGGGAAACGACUUUGGCCUUGGCUAUUUGUGAUGAUCCCUAUAUCAAAGGUGCAAGUUGAAUGCAAGGGCUUACCCCUUGCUCUAAAGCUGAUUGUGAGCUCUUUGAAUGGGGAACCUCAUGUGGCCUGGUUGAACGCAAAGAAUAGCUUUCCCAGGGCAGUCCAUAUCCAGCUAACACAAAGAAGGGCAUUUUAGAUGCUUGGAGAUCAGUAUUGAUUUCUUGAAUGCUUCUUAGAUUUGGCCUUAAUUCCAGAGAACAGGAAAAUCUGUGCUGAUGCACUGCUGGACAUUUGGGUAUAUGUUCGGAAGCUGAAGAGGCAAGAUGCUUUUAUAAUGUUGUUGGAGCUUGUAAGCGAAAAUCUCUUGAAUUUGUCUCAGCCUAGCCUUAUAUACAUCAUAUUUCUUGCUUCCAUUUUCUUAUAAACAUUAAGCUGAUAUUGUGUCUGUAAUUAACAGAAUCCAAGCAACAAUCUCUUAUGAGAAUGCUUCUGAUAUGUACUUUUCCCAGCAUUACAAUGAGAGAUUUGGCCACAUAUUUGUGAAGCCGGGACAAUAUAGGAAGAGAUUAUUCAUGCCAUGAGGAAGCUGCGCUUGCCAGGGGAGUGGGAGAUGCUUAAUGAUAGACCAUCCAAUGCUCAAGUUGUCUCCACCAAAAAUAUUCAUACUUGUUUAGUGGCAAACUCAUCAUGAAUAUGUAUGCAGCUGACGCUUCGAUGAGUUUCACGAAACAUGCAGUUCCACCACAACUUCUAGUUAGUCAUUCACCAUCAUGCUACAGUUCGAUGAUGACAACGCUCAAUUCUAUUUUUAGACAGUUACUUUCGAAUUUAGUUUGCAUUAGUCUAUUUUAAUAACUGCUGUCCAAAUAAUGCAUAAAAUGCAUGAUAAGAUGUUAUGAACAGUUGUAGAGGUUAGUUCGAGCCUAUUUUUAGGGGCUAUGAUUUUUAUAAAAGGACAGUUUUCUUACUGCUUGAAACGCAGCCUCUUAGGAGUAUAAAGUCUGAGAAAGACCUCUAUCAGAGGAACAAUGUAAUCUAUCGCAAUCCAUCUUUGCUUUGACUGAAUAAUUUUUUUACUUUUCUUUU